GCCAUAAGAUAAUGAAAUUAAACGACUAAAAUAAUGAGGCCCUUAUACUGAAUUGGGUAAUAGCUGGCCCUCUGGCCAAUCCUCUCUGUGCAACACGUUUCCAAUGGCACCAGUUUCUCUCUCCUCUGUCCCUCUUUUUCCUCCAUUUACAGUCUCUGUGCCUUCUUGUCCGCUACUUCACCGGCGAAUCUUUUCUCCUUCCUCUACAAUCCAAGCCUCUUCUUCUUCUUCAGCUUUGAAACCUGAAGUCGUAGUGACCAGAGAGCGUGGGAAGAAUGGCAAGCUCAUCAACGCUCUGGCCAAACAUGGGAUUAGCUGUUUGGAGCUUCCCCUCAUUCAGCAUACAAAGGGACCUGAUUUAGAUAAGCUUUCUACUGUAUUAAGUGCAGAUACUGAAUUUGACUGGAUUGUCAUAACUUCACCUGAAGCCGGUUCGAUCUUUUUAGAAGGAUGGAAGGCUGCUGGAACUCCAGAUGUUAAGGUAGCUGUUGUGGGGGCUGGUACAGCAAGCAUUUUUGAUGAAGUAAUGCGGUCAUCAACGAAAUCACUUGAUGUGGCCUUUGUGCCGUCAAAAGCAACAGGAAAGGUUUUGGCAUCAGAGCUUCCAAAAAGUGGACAUGCAAAAUGCACUGUUUUAUAUCCUGCUUCUGCUAAGGCCAGCAAGGAGAUUGAGGAAGGUCUGUCAGAUCGUGGAUUUGAAGUGACAAGGUUAAAUACAUACACAACGGGACCAGUUCAUGAUGUUGACCAAAUCGUUUUAAAGCAGGCACUUUCUGCCCCUGUUAUCACUGUUGCUUCACCUUCAGCUGUUCGUGCCUGGGUCAGCCUCAUUCCAAAGUCUGAACAAUGGAACAAUUCAGUUGCCUGUAUUGGUGAGACAACUGCCUCAGCUGCAAAAAGAUUAGGCUUGAUGAAUGUAUACUAUCCAACACACCCAGGUCUUGAAGGAUGGGUGGAUAAAAUCCUUGAGGCAUUAAGAGGAUAUGACCACUAGAGGACUGGCUGUUAAUUGUUUAGGUGAAAAAGGCAGUUGCUUGUUUUUAUUCCUUAAAUUUAAAAUGAGCUCUCCUCAGUUUCCUCCAGAUGCAGGUAUCUGAUGAUGAUGUGAGAGGUGUAGAAUGAGGUAGCAACACAGACAUGGAAAAGUUUGAAGUUUCUAUUUAAGGUGUUUGCUGAACAGAUAUGCCAGCAGCAAUACAAUUUGUUGGAAUGUUUAACAUCCUGAACAGAUCAUAUCCAGUAGCUAGAUCAUUCUUUUGAGUUAUUUUGUUUAUUAAUCCCCACGCAACAAGCUUUGAAUCCAAAAACAUCCUUGAGUGUCAUGUGCUUUACUGCUGGGGUCCUCUGCAGAUGCCUUCGUUUCUGGUUAAGGUGGAAUUUUAUUUUAUUUUCUCAUUAGUCUGUAUUCCUCAGUCAAUACUGUCAUAAGGAAUAAAGUGCAUUCCCGAUUGUUUAUUGCUGUACAAUGUUCAUGGGUGUGUGCAAAGUGUGUUCUAUCACCUGUAUUAAUGUGCACGGAUUUCUUGAC